rnacentral:rRNA from 1 species
AGAUUGAACGCUGGCGGCAUGCCUUACACAUGCAAGUCGAACGGCAGCACGGGGGCAACCCUGGUGGCGAGUGGCGAACGGGUGAGUAAUAUAUCGGAACGUACCCUUGAGUGGGGGAUAACGCAGCGAAAGUUGCGCUAAUACCGCAUACGAUCUACGGAUGAAAGUGGGGGAUUCGCAAGGACCUCAUGCUCGUGGAGCGGCCGAUAUCUGAUUAGCUAGUUGGUAGGGUAAAAGCCUACCAAGGCAUCGAUCAGUAGCUGGUCUGAGAGGACGACCAGCCACACUGGGACUGAGACACGGCCCAGACUCCUACGGGAGGCAGCAGUGGGGAAUUUUGGACAAUGGGGGCAACCCUGAUCCAGCAAUGCCGCGUGAGUGAAGAAGGCUUGGUGUAAGCUCUUUGUCAGGAAGAACGGUGUAUUUCUAAUACGGUACUUGACUAAUGUACGGUACCUAGAAGAAAUAAGACCACGACUAACUACGUCGCCAGCA